GUGGUGAGGCCCUGGCCCAGGUUGCCCAGGGAAGUUGUGGCUGCCCCAUCCCUGGAGGUGUUCAAGGCCAGGUUGGAUGGGCCUUGGGCAGCCUGAUCCAGUGGGAGGUGUCCCUGCCCAUAUCAGGGGGUUGGAACUGGAUGGGCUUUGAGAUCCCUUCCAACCUAAACUAUUCUAUGAUUCCAUGAUUCUACAUAUGCAUAGGUAGGCACAUUUAUACAUGAAUAUCACCUGUAGAUAUACAGCUGACUCACUGAAGGCUGAAAUGAUUUGGCAGCUCACAUCAGUGCUUCCCUUGCACUUGGGGCAUCAUUUAGGCUGCUAGAAGAAGGAAAGCUGGUAGGGUGCAGGAUGUUAACCCAGCUCCAAAAGCUGCUGGGAGAGCCUUUGCCCCAGUAAAGUCACGGCCCAGGGGCCUCCACAAACCCACAACAGCCCACACUAUUCCAAACAGACAGAAAAGAGAACCAGCCAAGAGGACUGCGCCGUGUGGCACUGCAGUGUGGGGUGGAGCAGAAGUGACCAGGGCUGUGUCACUGAAGUGACUUAUUACAUCCUCCAGCAAACUGGAUUUUACCAGAGGUGUUUCUGGUCUGAAUGCCAUGAUGGCAGUUGUAAGGUAGAACAGCUAAAGGGCACUCACACACACAUACAUUUCCAUCUGUGCUGGUAUAUAUGAGUAUUGGACUCUAUAUACAGAGCAAUCCUGUUUCCCUUUGCAGCAGUGGGGGUCUUCUGCUAUGGUGUGGAAGCAGCACUUUGUCAAAGCAUCACUUUGUCACUGUUUUUCAGCUCCGUGGCCAAGUGGGGUGACAAGAGUUUGGGACAGUGUAGUGGUUUAACCCCAGCUGGCAAGCGAGCACAGUGCAGCAGUUUGCUCUUCUCUCUUCCCUGCAGUGCAAUGGGGAAAAAAAUUAGUAAACCUCGUGUGCUGAGAUAAAGACAGUUUAAUAUGAUGGCAAAAGGGAGAUAAAUAAUGAUGAUGAUAAUAAUAAUAUACCAAACAAGUGAUGUACGGUAUCACUUUUGACCAAAUGACCAAAGUCCACCCUCCCUAACCAACUCCUCAGCUUAUAUACCGAGCAUGAUGUCAUGUGGUGCGGAAUAUCCCUCUGGUCAGCUGUCCUAGCUGUGCUCCCUCCCAGCAUUUUAUUCACCUCCCCAUUGGUAGAACAGGAGAAGGUGAAAAGGCCUUGACUUUGUGUGAAAACUACUUAGCAACAAUUAAAAAAACACCAGGAAAAAAUUAACUCCAUCACAGCUGAAACCAGGACAGACAGAGGAGAUGGUUUGGGGUGAAGCAGGGCUUAACAUUGAGGUUGUGCUUAGGGGAACUGAGGUUUUGGUAGGUGAGAGAUCUUGACCCAUUUCAGUGAGAUGAGUUCAGAGCAGCAGUUGGAGCUGUGACUGCUUGGAAAGCCUUUCAGAAAGCAAUGAUUGUGUUGGUCAAGUACAAUCACAAAUGUGAAAUCAGGGUAUCCUCCCACUUGAACCCUCCCCAGCUAUCCAUGACUGAAAUAUAUAUUCACACAUAGGACUUCAGAGGAGACUCCUUUGGGCUGAUGGACAACUGCUGAAACACAGAGCUGUUGCUUGUCUUUUUAUCUAAUUGACUUGUUAAAAAGGCGUCUGCAAUCAAUUUGGCUGAUAUGCCAACGCUGCAGUGGGCGGUGUUAUUUCCAGGUAUUCUGGCUACUGUAAGGUAGAGGAUGCACACAGUUUGUACUUAAAACAUAUGAAAAUGAACAUUUAGGGGAGUCUGAGCUCAUUUGCACUAUUUAUUUUCUAGGGAAAUGUCACAUACUCAGAAUUAAUGGAUUUUUUUCCCCCUAUCAGUUUAUUUCAGCCAGUUACACUUCUUGGAUCUGUCAUAACGGACAUGAAACAUCUUUACUCAGUGAGCUACUUCAGUAAUUCCCUUCAAAACUUUUCUUUAGAGAAGAUGGCCUUUUUCUCCCUUUUUCUGUGCAAGCAGCAUCCUAUUCACAUGGCAUCCUGCAACAUCUUGUUAAUAAAAAUGUCCCAGCUCUUCCCAAAGCUGAGAGUUUUGCAGUUGGUUAAAUGAAAACAUGGACACUAUCUUUUAGAAUAAAUCUGAAUGGCUGUGCUCUCUGGUGAUUUAACCAAGAUUUAUUUUUUUCUUCCACUUGGACAAGAAACCAGCCUUUUCACGUUGUUUCUCCUCUGUCUUUGCCAGUUACAGAAACAGAAGGACAAGGCACGGAGUAAAGUAAAAGUAAAGAGGCAGGGGAAGGGCAGGGAGGAAACGAGCACUUUCAGCCCCAAAACUAGUUUCAGUUUAAGCAGUGGACAAAAUUUCAGGUUACCUGUUGGUUUUAGCCCUUUCCAAACAACUAUAGAGGCAGGAGAUGCCUUAGACAAAGGGAGCCACUAAAGUGGCAGUGAAAGGGAUUAUCUGUACUGAAACCGCCCACAUGUUGGUUUUUUCCCUCCUAAUCUAUCUGUCUUGGUCUCUUUCUCUCUUUCCUCUUUGCUGCAUAUAAUUUACAGUAAAAACACAGGAAGAUGAAUGAUUUCUUCUGAGGAAAGUACCUGACAAAGAGGUGAAUGAGUAAAGUCAUCAGGCCUUUUGACUUCAUCAGUACCUAAGCAUCCUCAGUGGUUUCAGGCAGAGACGCUGACUUGCAACGAGAUGCCUUUGAAGUGGUUUUUGCCAGUACGUGGCAAGUGGGAGGUACACAAGACUUGAAUUUUUCCCUGUGGCAGUCCAGGCACAGGGAACCCUGAAUCUGUGAAUAACAGCAGCUAUUAGUAGCAUUGCAUGUUGUAACCCCCAAAAUACCUCUUAGCCGUUAACUCAACCGUUAACACAUAACCAUUGCCCAGAGAAGUGGUGGCUGCCCCAUCCCUGGAGGGGUUCAACGCCAGGUUGGAUGGGGCUGAUCCAACAGGAGGUGUCCCUGCCGGGACAGGGGAGUGGAACUGGAUGGGCUUUAAGGUCCCUUCCGACCUAAACUGUUCUAUGAUUCCAUGAUGACACUGUAACUAAUGGCCAUUCUUCACACAGUGUGUGGGCUUUGGGAGACUCCUCUCUGUGUCCAGAGACUGAAAACUUUCCUUUAAAUUACAGAGGUGUUGAAAUGCUCACAUGUGGUUAUAUUUUCCCACUCCAUCCUCUACUUGGGAUGUAAUUUCCACUGCAAAAUGAAAUAGGACUGACUCAUUUUGCAGAAGGAACAUGAUUGACACAAGUCUGGAUGGAGAUUCAUUCUCAACCCUGUGGAAAUUCCUCACCAAGUCUGCCUGUAGCUCCUGAGAGAAUGCAGAAAACAACCAGCAACCAUUCAAGCAACAUCUCAGCCAUCCCAGCUCUGUUCCAGAGGCCUCUGUCAUCUCGUCCACAUUCCUGAAAGGCAGAAGUACGAAGUGGCAAGGUGCCCUUGCAAAGUUCCUGCUGUGUGUCCACAGGGAAAUGUUUUGAUCCAGGCAGACAGUUUUCCUAGCAAAGAUUACUGCUGCAGAGACAGCGACAGCAGCUGGGAAAUUUGGAGUUCUGGACAUAACCACACUAGAAGACAAGAGUGAAGAAUGACGGCAUGUAGACCACUGGAUAUCUGCAGGAUUUCCAAGUGCUGCCAAACAGAGCAGGCACAGACUGAGGCAAAUGAACUCUGUGUGCCAUCUGCCGGCUGCCAGGCUUAAAACGGACAAGGAGAGUGAGGAGGGCUCCUAAGAGAUGCUGGAAUUCAAACUGUAUGAACAGGAGACCUCCGAUGUUUUAUUGAUUCUGUUAAGAACUUUUCCCACUUGCCCAGUCAGGCAUUGCCUGUUGCCACCAGUAAAUCCUCUGCACCAUUCCCGAGCAUUCUCCUAGGCUCUGGUUCUGAAUUCUGCUUAGCGAUGGAAGUGUGCACACUGUGUGGGAUGGUUCCUGGGGGAUGUGUUAUAAAUACCUACAGAAAUCGGACACUUCUGAAAUGUAGCUGUUGAGACUGACUGUUAAUAAAGCCCAGCACACAGGCUUUGAUGCUUCUCUCCACAGCAUUUUCUGUGUCUCCAUACAUUGUUUCCUUCUGUGCUGGGGCUCUCUUGCAGUAAAGCUGCACCCCCCAGCAGUAAAGCUGGUCCCAGUGCACCCCGCAGCGUGCAGGGACCCCACCAGGCUCUACCUUCUGGAGAGAUGAUGAAGUUUCAAUCAAGACCAUGAACAAGAUGGCUCUGGGACAUCACCAUUCCAAAGGGCUAAUGCUCACCUCAAGCUCAGAAAUGCAAGAAUCAAAGAGUUGCAAUUAAAAAUAACAAUAUUAAAAAUAAUUAGCAAGACAUGACCUUAGGGUGAAUGGAAGUAAUACCCUCUCUCUUCCCUUUCCUUCCUUCCGAUUUUAAAGUUGAUAUUUCCUACUUGCACAUACUUUUUUAUACCCUGUGUCAAAUCAAUAACAUCUGACCUUAUCUAACAGCUAGCUCUUCUCGGUAAGUCUUAUCCACAGAGCUGAUCAUAUUUGAUCUGCCUGAAAGAGUUUUCUUUCCCAGCCACCUUCCAGCGAUUGCCGAGGAGGAGGAGGAGGAAAAACACUUGCUGUGUUCAAAAAGUGCAACCUUGAAGGAGGGCAGAGAGACUGGAUUAAAACAAAAGAUCUUUUAUUGUCUUCAACCGAAGAGUAUG